UACGUAGGGUGCAAGCGUUGUCCGGAAUUACUGGGCGUAAAGCGUGCGCAGGCGGUUUUGUAAGUCUGUCGUGAAAUCCCCGGGCUUAACCUGGGAAUUGCGAUGGAGACUGCAAGGCUAGAAUCUGGCAGAGGGGGGUAGAAUUCCACGUGUAGCAGUGAAAUGCGUAGAGAUGUGGAGGAACACCGAUGGCGAAGGCAGCCCCCCUGGGUCAAGAUUGACGCUCAUGCACGAAAGCGUGGGGAGCAAACAGG
rnacentral:rRNA from 1 species